CCUACGGGGGGCAGCAGUGAGGAAUAUUGGUCAAUGGGCGCAAGCCUGAACCAGCCAAGUUGCGUGAGGGAAGACGGCCCUACGGGUUGUAAACCUCUUUUGCCGGGGAGCAAGCCUGAGCACGUGUGCCCAGGCGGAGAGUACCCGGAGAAAAAGCAUCGGCUAACUCCGUGCCAGCAGCCGCGGUAAUACGGAGGAUGCGAGCGUUAUCCGGAUUUAUUGGGUUUAAAGGGUGCGUAGGCGGACGCUUAAGUCAGCGGUAAAAUUGCGGGGCUCAACCUCGUCGAGCCGUUGAAACUGGGUGCCUUGAGUGGGCGAGAAGUACGCGGAAUGCGUGGUGUAGCGGUGAAAUGCAUAGAUAUCACGCAGAACUCCGAUUGCGAAGGCAGCGUACCGGCGCCCAACUGACGCUGAAGCACGAAGGCGUGGGUAUCGAACAGGAUUAGAUACCCCAGUAGUC
rnacentral:rRNA from 1 species